rnacentral:rRNA from 1 species
GGGAAUCUACCUUUUGCUACGGAAUAACUCAGGGAAACUUGUGCUAAUACCGUAUGUGCCCUUUUGGGGAAAGAUUUAUCGGCAAAGGAUGAGCCCGCGUUGGAUUAGCUAGUUGGUGAGGUAAAGGCUCACCAAGGCGACGAUCCAUAGCUGGUCUGAGAGGAUGAUCAGCCACACUGGGACUGAGACACGGCCCAGACUCCUACGGGAGGCAGCAGUGGGGAAUAUUGGACAAUGGGCGCAAGCCUGAUCCAGCCAUGCCGCGUGAGUGAUGAAGGUCUUAGGAUUGUAAAGCUCUUUCACCGGUGAAGAUAAUGACGGUAACCGGAGAAGAAGCCCCGGCUAACUUCGUGCCAGCAGCCGCGGUAAUACGAAGGGGGCUAGCGUUGUUCGGAUUUACUGGGCGUAAAGCGCACGUAGGCGGACUUUUAAGUCAGGGGUGAAAUCCCGGGGCUCAACCCCGGAACUGCCUUUGAUACUGAAAGUCUUGAGUAUGGAAGAGGUGAGUGGAAUUCCGAGU